rnacentral:tRNA from 1 species
CCAGAAGCUCGGCCCGAUGUACACCCGGCUCGACGAGCUGGACGCCCAGAUCGCCGAGGCGAAGGCGGCGCGGA